rnacentral:rRNA from 2 species
UGAGGAAUAUUGGUCAAUGGGCGAGAGCCUGAACCAGCCAAGUCGCGUGAAGGAAGAAGGUUCUAUGGAUUGUAAACUUCUUUUGUAAGGGAAUAAAAAGAGUUACGUGUAACUUAUUGUAUGUACUUUACGAAUAAGGAUCGGCUAACUCCGUGCCAGCAGCCGCGGUAAUACGGAGGAUCCAAGCGUUAUCCGGAUUUAUUGGGUUUAAAGGGUGCGUAGGCGGGCCCUUAAGUCAGUGGUGAAAGUUUGCAGCUUAACUGUAAAAUUGCCAUUGAAACUGAGGGUCUUGAGUGUAAAUAAGGUAGGCGGAAUGUGUUGUGUAGCGGUGAAAUGCUUAGAUAUAACACAGAACACCAAUUGCGAAGGCAGCUUACUGGGAUACAACUGACGCUGAGGCACGAAAGCGUGGGGAUCAAACAGG